rnacentral:pre_miRNA from 1 species
AUUACAAUUGUUAGGUCAUAUGUUAAGUGUAUUUUUAACUUUAAAAGAAAUUGUCAAACUCUUUUUCAAAGUGGCUGUACCAUUUUACAUUCUUAUCAGCAAC